CACGUAGGGGCCAAGCGUUGUCCGGAUUUAUUGGGCGUAAAGAGCUCGUAGGCGGUUCGACAAGUCGGGUGUGAAAACUCCGGGCUCAACCCGGAGACGCCACCCGAUACUGUCGUGACUGGAGUCCGGUAGGGGAGUGGGGAAUUCCUGGUGUAGCGGUGAAAUGCGCAGAUAUCAGGAGGAACACCGGUGGCGAAGGCGACUACCUGGCCUGUUCUUGACGCUGAGGCGCGAAAGCUAGGGGAGCAAACGGG
rnacentral:rRNA from 1 species